AUGAGUGUAAAAGGGAUGGGCAUCAAAAGUGCUUAUCAGGGGCGACUCCCUUGGAUGGCAGAUUUCAUUCCAAAUUAAAAAGGAAGAAGAGGGAGAAAUCUUAGAAGAUUUCCAGUGUUUCAAGAAAUGGAAUUCUCUUGGCUGCCAACCAAUGAUGCCACCAUCCAUGCCAGUAGUAUUUAUUGAGCAUCACCCACUGCAUGCCAUGAGCUUCUCCAGGAACUUAGGGUGGAUCACUGGACAUGAAGACAAGGAAACAAACUCUUCCUUCCUGUCUUCUGCCGGUAGCAGAAAAUAGACUCGCCAAGCAGAUGUCCAGGGCUGGUGGAGGAGUACCUCGGGAUGCAGCUUCCUGGAGAGAAAACAAACCCCAGAGAGCCUGGGCGGUCCGGGUCCUGGUGGGGGUGGAAGCCUUGGGCCCCCAGGUGGAGCACUGUGUGCUACUGUAGGCUGCUAAGCUCCUCUCCACCCCCCUCUCCCUGCAUCACCCUUUGUCUCUUUCCUGCUAACUGUGAGACAAGUCAACUAAAAAUGGUCAGGGAAAACUCAGAGUCGCUGCAUUUAAAAACUCUUGUAGCCUCCUGUUUGCAGACUCCUGUGACGUAGAUGAACCAGAUCCAGAGAAUUUCUCAUGGGAAUCCAGGAGGCUUCAGCAUAACUGCUGGCUUAGUUGCGGCUGCUUUGGGCCCUUGUGAAUGUGGCCCUUGAGGUUUCAUUUCUCAUCUUAAAGACAUGGGCGGCAGCAGAUUCUGUGAGUGCACCUGGAAGGUACCAGGUAGACUAUCUGAACCAGCCUCUCAAGGAUGGCCUCCGUGGACCUAAGAACGCCUGAAGCCUGUGGAGCUGGCCUGGCUUGGGCUGGCUUGGGCUGGAGGUUUGCAUCCCAAGGAAAACAGGAGGGCAUAAGAAGAGAGAAUGUUCUCAGACAUCAUAAGAGCGUCAUUAUCAAAGUCCUAGGGAUUUUUGUUUGUUUUGAUCUUUUUUUUCUGUUCUUGAAGCACAUUACCCAAUUUCAGUUGAGCUCUUUUAUAAAUAUAUGCCCCUGCACAUCCCUUCAGCAUUUGUGCUUCCAGUGACUGUUUAUUUCUCUUUUGGAUUCUCUUGCUGAGGACCUUUUCUCCACUGAAAAGAUGUUUCAGAAUGUCCUGGAAGAGGAAAUGUUUUAUUUAAGAAUUAAUAUUUAUUUUAAAGCUUUGCUUUCACAUACUUACUGAGUGGGGGAAAAUUUUACCUUUAAAAGAGUGAGGGAAAAUGCAAGUUGUCAUCAUAGCUAUGGUUUCUUGUAGGAAUUCCAAGUAUAGUUUGUUGUCAAAGUUAUGCAUUACAUAAAUCUUAGUAGUAGUAUUCACAUUAUUUAACUUAAUAAUUUUUUUCAGAUGUCAGUGAUAUGUCUUAAGGAGGGGAUUUUUUUUUUUUUAAUGUUUACACCAGGACUGUGUGAACUAGCAAUAGUUUGCUCUUUGAGAAUAGGGAAUGAAUCCUAUUGACUUUUUUCCCUAUUGCAAGUUAGCUGUUAUAAUCACUAUUAUUGAAGAAGGCUAACUUUGUAUCAGACAUGGAUAUAAGCAAAGUUGUGCUGGCAACCCACCUUAAAAAAAAAAACAAAAAACCUUGACUUGCAGUGUUUGCCAAUGACCAUAGUGUAAAUAUUCCCAAGACAACCAAGUUCAAGCUACCAAAGUUCAUGAACUGAAUAUGGAGUUGGGAUAAUCAUCUUUGGAUUUCUUGAGUCAGUAUGAAUCAUCUCCAGCACCAUUGGUAUAGGUAUUCACUGGUACUAAUUAUUUUAAAAAUCAAUAAGUAUUAGUUACUCUACAACAGCACAUUAUUAUCAACCCUCAUAUAGGUAAGGAAACUGAGACAUGGGGAAAUCAUAUUACUUUGCAAAGGUGACUAAAUCAAUAAACAGUAAAGCCAGGUUUUAAGGCUCAGGCUACCUAACUCCAGAGCCCACACACAUCACCCCUGUACGACACUGCUGGCUGGGGUGCAGAUGCUCAACAGAUGAUUACUAAGUGUGGAAAUGUGGAUUUCAAGAUGUGUACUACUCAUUUAAGUAUUGUAUCAAAGAAGAUUCCACUAGAGAAAGAGAACUGGUAAUAAAUAUAUAAAUUUAAUAUAAAUAUAUAUUUACAUGUAAUAAAGAUAUAUUUGAUAUGAACCAAUUUCAAGAAAUUGGCUUAUAUGAUUGUGGCAACUUGCUAGGCAAGUCAGAAACCUGAAGGACAGACUGGAAGGCAAGGCAGAAACUAUUGAGCAGGAGCCGACACUGCACUCCACAGGUAGAACCUCUUCCCCAGAGAAGGAAGCCUCAAUUCUGCUCUUAAAGCCUUUCAGUUUGUUUUUAGCUAAAUUGACAUAUCAAAUGUUGAACUGAACUGUGUUCCCCAAAAAGUUACGUUGAAGUCAUAAGCUUUAGUGUUGGUGUGUAAAUUUUGGCAUAGCUUUUACUUUUAGUACAACUUGUUACUUUAUAAUAACAUCUAUACUGUCCUUGCAGCAGGCUAAAUAAUGCAUUAAACUAUUUGAGAUUAUCCAGUUAAAGAUAUUUUGCCUACUGAGUACCACAUAGUUGUGCAAGACUGAGUCAGAUUGACUGCAAAGCUCAAGUUUCCUUCACAGGCAUUAAUUGAAACACUGGAUUAUCCACACCACACAUUUAGCGGUUGAAUUUCUACUCUGCAUAUUUGAUGCCUUCAACUAUAAGGAAUCACUGAGUAGUUGCUGCACACCAGUGUUUGCUAUUAUUUUCAUCCCCAUUUAUUACAAAUGAAGAAACAAGUAUAGCUAAGUAGGGACUUUCCUUAAUCACACAGCUAGUAAGCGGCAGGUCUUUGAUUAGGUCUUAGGCAUUCUGACACAGCCUUUUCUUUUAAACUUUUUAAUAUGUGAAUAUAAUGGAAAUCACAUUCAGCAAAACUUAUAAUACUUUGUGCUCAGUUAAAAACAGCAUCCAGUCAUUAGCAUUAAACUAAUAAUGGUUGUGUAGACUUCAACUGGUAAGUAUGGGUUGAUUGUCCGCAUGCAAAAUGAAAAAUUAACAAAAAGCAUUUUAUUUCAAUUAUAACCUGUAAAUAAAAGUUUAAUUAAA